rnacentral:lncRNA from 1 species
AUGAAAAAAGGAAAAACGGUCAGCUGUUGUCACAGCAAAAUCAUGAGCAGGCCUUUGCCUUAUCAUAUCUACUUCUUUUCGGGACUGUUGACCUGUUGGAUAUCAUGUACAUCUUCGGCCAACAAAUGUACUGUUAGGCAUGAAGCAGCCGAUUGCAGUCAUCUGAAGUUGACUCAAAUACCUGAUGACCUCCCAACAAACAUAACUGUGUUGAAUCUUACCCAUAAUCAACUCAGAAGAUUGCCAGCUGCCAAUUUUACAAGAUACAGCCAACUUACUAUCUUGGAUGGGGGAUUUAACUCCAUCUCAAAGCUGGAGCCAGAACUGUGUCAAAGUCUCCCUUGGUUGGAAAUUUUGAACCUCCAACACAAUGAGAUAUCUCAGCUUUCUGAUAAAACCUUUAUCUUCUGCAUGAAUUUGACUGAACUCCAUCUAAUGUCCAACACAAUCCAAAAAAUUCAAAAUGAUCCGUUUAAAAACCUGAAGAAUUUAAUCAAAUUAGACCUCUCUCACAAUGGCUUAUCAUCUACGAAAUUAGGAACUCAGCUCCAACUGGAGAACCUCCAAGAGCUUCUAUUAUCAAAUAACAAAAUUUCUUCACUAACACCAGAAGCACUUGAUUUCCUUGGCAAUUCUUCUUUAAAAAGAUUAGAGUUGUCAUCAAAUCAAAUCAAAGAGUUCUCUCCUGGGUGUUUUCAUGCCAUUGGAAAAUUAUCUGGCCUCUCUCUGAACAAUGCCAAGCUGAGCCCCAGUCUCACAGAGAAGCUCUGCUUGGAAUUGUCAAAUACAAGCAUUGAGAAUCUGUCCCUGAGCAGCAACCAGCUGGACACAAUCAGCCACACGACCUUCGAUGGACUGAAACAGACGAAUCUCACCACGCUGGACCUUUCCCGUAACUCCUUACGUGUGAUGGGUAAUGACUCCUUUGCCUGGCUUCCACAUCUCGAGUACCUCUCUCUGGAGUAUAACAACAUAGAGCAUUUGUCUUCUCGCUCUUUCUAUGGGCUUUCCAGCUUGAGACACCUGAACUUGAGACGGUCUUUUACUAGACAAAGCAUUUCACUGACUUCGCUCCCCAAGAUUGACGAUUUUUCCUUUCAGUGGCUAAAACGUUUGGAGUACCUCAACAUGGAAGAUAACGACUUUCCAGGCAUAAAAAGAAAUACUUUCACAGGAUUGGUGAGGCUGAAAAUUUUAAAUCUAUCCAACUCCUUCUCAAGUUUGCGGACUUUAACAAAUGAGACAUUUCUAUCACUUGCUAGUUCUCCUCUGCUCCUACUCAACCUAACCAAAAAUAAAAUCUCAAAAAUUCAGAGUGGUGCUUUUUCUUGGUUGGGGCACCUGGAGGUCCUUGACCUCGGCCUUAAUGAAAUUGGGCAAGAACUCACAGGCCAAGAAUGGGGAGGCCUAGACAAUAUUGUCGAAAUCUACCUUUCCUACAACAAAUACCUAGAGCUGACCACCAACUCUUUCACCUCAGUUCCAAGCCUUCAAAGACUGAUGCUUCGAAGGGUGGCCCUGAGAAAUGUGGAUAGCUCCCCUUCACCUUUUCACCCUCUUCCGAACCUGGUCAUUCUGGAUCUAAGCAACAACAACAUAGCCAACAUAAAUGAUGAACUGUUGAAGGGUCUUGAGAAACUGGAAAUUCUGGAUUUGCAGCAUAACAACUUAGCUCGGCUCUGGAAGCAUGCCAACCCUGGCGGCCCUGUUCUGUUUCUGAAGGGCCUUUCUCGCCUCCACAUCCUUAACUUGGAGUCUAAUGGCUUUGAUGAGAUCCCAGUGGAAGCCUUCAAGGACUUACGUGAAUUGAAGAGUAUUGAUUUAGGAAUGAAUAAUUUAAAUAUCCUUCCACUAUCUGUCUUUGAUAAUCAAGUGUCACUAAAGUCAUUAAGCCUUCAGAAGAACCUCAUAACAUCUGUUGAAAAGACUGUUUUUGGGCUAGCAUUCAGGAACCUGAGUUAUUUAGAUAUGCGUUUUAAUCCAUUUGAUUGUACCUGUGAAAGCAUCGCCUGGUUUGUUAAUUGGAUUAAUAGUACCCACACCAACAUCUCUGAGCUGUCGAACCAUUACCGCUGCAACACUCCGCCUCAGUACCAUGGUUCCCCAGUAAUGCUUUUUGAUGUAUCGCCGUGCAAAGACAGCGCCCCAUUUGAACUCCUUUUCAUGAUUAACACCAAUAUCCUUUUGAUUUUUAUCUUUAUUGUACUGCUCAUCCAUUUUGAAGGCUGGAGGAUAUCUUUUUAUUGGAAUGUUUCAGUGCAUCGAGUUCUCGGUUUCAAAGAAAUAGACAAAGCAGAGCAGUUUGAAUAUGCAGCGUAUAUAAUUCAUGCCUAUAAAGAUAGAGAUUGGGUCUGGAAGCACUUCUCCCCAAUGGAGGAAGAAGAUCAUACUCUCAGAUUUUGUCUGGAAGAAAGGGACUUUGAGGCAGGUGUCCUUGAACUUGAAGCAAUUGUGAACAGCAUCAGAAGGAGCAGAAAAAUUAUUUUCGUUGUAACACAGAAUCUAUUGAAAGAUCCAUUAUGCAAAAGAUUCAAGGUUCACCAUGCAGUUCAGCAAGCUAUUGAACAAAAUCUGGAUUCCAUUAUAUUGAUCUUUCUUGAGGAGAUUCCGGAUUAUAAACUGAACCACGCACUCUGUUUGCGAAGAGGGAUGUUUAAAUCUCAUUGCAUCUUGAAUUGGCCGGUUCAGAAAGAACGGGGGAUCUUCCCAACCCAGGGAGCAAACCCGUGUCUCUUGUACCUCCUGAUUUGGCAGGCAGAUUCUUUACUACUGUGCCACCUGGGAAUCCCAUAUACUCAGGACAAAAAGCGUUUAUUCUUCAUUUUGAUUACUUAA